CUUGUUUCAAUUGAAUUAGAUGUUUUUAGUUACAAAAUGCAUUUCACAUAAAGACAACACUACUACGAAAAAAAAGGCCAAAGAAAACCAUCUAUAAGAGACCAGUUGGGGUUACGAACCCGUUUCUUAAACAUAUUAAACCAUUGAUUAUUCAAAACCAAUCUCUUAAGUUUAACUACUAGACUGAUUGAUAAAGUUGUUGUGUGAUAGGAGACUACACGUACAUAAAAUCGAUUUCCUUAAAAUAUUUAAAAUUUUAAUUUAAUUUAUUUUCAAAAUACGUAAUACAUGCUAGCUAUUUAUUUUUUUUGAAAUUUUUUUUUUCUUCUUAAAGCAACAAUACUGAGCAUUCCUAUAAAAAAAAAAAAAAAACAAUACCACCAUGCAAUAUUCUUCCCCAAAACCUCAAAUCAGUAAACCACCCUCCCCAUAAUCCAAAUUCUCCCAACUCCAUUAAUUGCCUCUUCUUCCUCAUCACAAUUCCACCUAAUUACUCUAACUAUUUAAGUGAAAAACAUGCUUACAAUCCGGUAAAACCUGACAAAUUUCUUCUUCCAAAAGAUCAUCCAAACAAAUCGCACAAACUUUGGACCCUUUGAAUCUCGACUUUGGGAGAGUUUUAAGCAAUCCUGAGAACCUAGAUGAUGAAUUUUCAGAUCCUGAAAUAGGUUGUCAUUGGUUUCGCCGGUGCCGGAGAGCUCAUCAAUGGCGAGGCGUGGAGUGUCGGUGAUCACUUAUAAGAUCCUCACUUUGUCGAUCGAUCGUUCUUACUCUUUUCUUCUCACUCUCUGUUCUUGACUGAUAAUAUUAAUUACUCUGCCAUUGUCGCAUACUCGCAUUUGUAAGCAUUUCUGGUUAUUUAUAUUUAAUUAUUAUUUUCUCAUGAUUUAGAUCUAUUUGAUGUUUUUUCUGUGUUUAUUUUGAUUUUUUUUUUUCUCGCUUUUUUUUCAAUCUUAUAUGGAAGAUCAAUCAAUUAUUUUACGCUAAUUUUUGGUGCAAUUCAAUUGAAAUAGUAGAGUUAAAUUUCAUAUAAAACCGCAUUUGAUUCAUUUUUAUUUCGUGUUCAUUUUUGCUAUAAUACGACUGGUUUACUGAUCCAAUUGAAAUUCUUAGGUUUUCAUUUCAUUAUUCUGCAUUGACCGUUCUCAAUUCAUUUAAAUUCAAUGUCAAUAAAUCGCGUAGUAAUUGUAGGAUUGGAUUGGUUUCUUAUUUAGUUAGUUGAUGGAAAAGUUGUUGAUUUAUCGUCACAAAUGAUGUUGAAUAUGAUUCUAAUAUAACUUCUGUUGAUAUGGUCGAUACUUGUUGUGAGAUUAGGGUUAAAAAUUGUAUCCUUCUAACUGAGACUUGAAAGCCUUGGACCUGUAGCAUAUUCUUGUCAGAUCUCAUAGGAGCAAAGGGAAGGAAUUAAAUUAUUAACAGUGUGUUUGGUUCAUUUUUAGUAAAGGAAAGAAAGGGAAGAGAAAGGAAGGGAAGAGAAAAGAAAAGAAUGGAAGAGAAAGGAAAAAAACCUUAAAUUUUCAUGUUUGGUAUAAAUUUUCUCUUUCCUUCCGAAUUCCCCGCUUUUGGGAGGAAAGGAAAGUGAAAUUUUAUUAAAGAGUAUUUCCUUCCAAUUCCUCCCAUUUCCUUUCACUUAAUUUUUUUUUUAAUAAACCAAACAUUGGAUAGUAAUAAAUUUCCUUCCACUUCCUUUCUUUUCCUUCCAAAUCCUUUCUACCAAACAAACUGUAAAAUAGUUUUACUUCACAUAAAAAAUAAAAUAAAAAUGGAACACCCCUUAUUCUUAUUAUUUUCAAGUCUUCUUUUCAUAGCUAUAAUCUUCAAAAUUAACUACAAUCCAACAAAAGCCAACUUACUUCUUACAAGAACACAUGAGCCUUUUCUUUUAAGCCAGAACAUAAUUAAUGAGAAUGGAUUAGAUGAAUUGGUGGAUGUAUGUUAUGUAUUACUCUUUUGCUUCAUUUUUGUCCCUUCUUUCCUUUCUUUAUGGGGGGAAGGGGGAGAUAAUUUUUUUUCCUCCAAUUGCUCUGAAAUCCUGCAUUCAAUUGUGUCUACUAGUUAUGCAUGCGAGAACGUCGUAGGCUUUAUUAAAUUACUGGGUCUGCCUCCAACUUCAUAUCAUGUUUGUGACUUCUUAUAUGUGUUUGUAUUAUGGGGCCAUAGAGAAAAAGCCUUUCUAAGAGCACUUGAUAUUUGCUUAUUGUUUCAUAAUGAAACUUAAGGGGAUAUCCUAAAUAUAUAAUAACGUGGUCAUGUUCUGUUUAGAAGAGAUCUUGUUGUCUCAACAUUUUGUAAUAUGAUACAUUAAUUGUGAAAAGCAGUUUGCAAAUUUCUGUUGUUUUUCAGUUUUCACUUAGCUAAAUUUCUGGUAGAGGUAAGAAGCUGAUAGGCUGAAAAUAACAAGCUAUUGCAUAAAAUCGAAGGUUGUUUAUUUUGUGAAAUCUCAGUAUCGUGUUGAAAUAAAUAUUGAUGUGAAAAGUAGUUUGCAAAAUUCUAUUGCUUCUCAUUUUCAGAUUAAGAGUAAGAGUAAGAUUGUGUAAGAGUAAGAAGCCAGCAUGUCUCUCAUUUUCAGAUUAAGAGUAAGCGUAAGAUUGUCUAAGAGUAUGCAGUGUUGUUCAUGGUUCACAAAGCGGACUGAGAUGUUUUAUCUUUUUCUCCUGUCUUUCUGUUUGCUAGUUAGGAUAGUGACUGGUAUCCUUAAAUUUGAUAGUUGAAGCUUGACAGUAAUGCAAUGGCCCAAGAGAUGGGACUAUUUAUUCCCUAUGUUGGCGGCGUCGACCGUGCUACUAUUUUGCUUCCUCCCUUGGAGACCUUAUGCAUUGUUGAAGAGACUUGUGUAAGGGACAAAAUCGUCAACUCGCUUUACACUAUUACUUCACAGAUGAAGAAAUAUGAUCUUUUUCAAUCAUAUUUUCCUAUGCUUAAGAGGUUGGCUUCUGGUGAGUGGUUUACUGCUCGUGUUUCUUCAUGUGGCUUAUUCUAUAUUGCUUACCCAAGCGCUCCAGAAAACAUUAAUGUUGAGUUAAGAACAAUGUACAGCCAAUUGUGUCAAGAUGACAUGCCUAUGGUGAGAAGAUCAGUAGCCAGCAAUCUUGGCAAAUUUACAGCCGCCUAUUUGAAGGCUGACAUCAUGUCUAUAUUUCUGGAUCUCACACAAGAUGGUAUUUUCACUUUAUUGCACAAUAUUUCUAGAUUUUGAUAUAUAUGAAACUAGUUUUCACUUGCAGAGCCUGUAACAAUUGUACAGUACAAUCGAUAAGUCUAGAAAUGAUAGAUUCUUUUUCUGUGAGGUGCUUGUUCUAAACUUUUAGUCAUAUAUGGAUCGAGUAUGACUAAAGCUUUGCUCUCUUUAACUUACAUAAAACCGGUUAUAGUAAAAUCGGUUACCUUUAUUGCUAUUAAACUAGACAUCUUUGUUUUAGAUCAGGAUUCUGUUCGUCUAUUAGCCGUUGAAGGUUGUGCAGCCCUUGGAAAGCUUUUGGAGACUCAAGAUUGCAUUGGUACACAUUAUUCCUGUAAUUGUUAAUUUCUCUCAGGUAUGGCGAAAGAAUAGAUAUGGCAUAUUUAAGUAUUCUUCCUAGAAUUACUUCUGUAUUCUUGGUGGGAUUAAUGUCUUUGUGAGAGAACUUCCUUGGUGUCAAAAACCUUAUUCUUAGUGGGGAAGGUUGCGUUCAGUAUUACCAACUUCUCGAGCACUUCAUAACGUAGAGUGGAAACAGGAUUGCAAUAUGCUAGUAGUAUAAUCAAUAUAUUCCUAUAUGUUUUACUUUUCCACAUUUGCUAUGAAUAAUUAGCUCAAUAUAUCAAUUAUUUGGUUGUUUCAAUGACAACAGUUAGAACUUGGUUAUGCUACCUAGUGGAAGAAACGAGUAUCAUUGUAUACACUUAAAAUUAACGAAAGAGUAGUUUGAUAGAGAAGAAAAUUGGCAAGAGGAUGAAGGGGACGGAGAAGCUUCAAUUGUGCAGUCACUCGUUCAUUAUUCCUCUCAUGAGCCAGUCUAAGUUACAUUUCCUUCACCUUUGGCAGGAACCUGUAUGGCAUCUAGUUGGAAAUUACCAUGUCUCUUUAAAAAUCCUAGUCUUGUCAGAAAGUUGUAUUAUUUCUUCAAGUGGAGUUAAUGCAGUCUCCAAGGAAGUAAUUUUUGCUUUGACUUGUGUUGCAUGAGUAAAAAUCUCUUUUGGACUUGACCGUGAUAGAUAAAUAGAUAUAGCAUCAAUUUCCUGAGCAUGAAAUUUUCUUGUGCUAAUACUGCAUUAAUCAUGUCUUUCAAUUGCUAGAUUUGGUUGUGGAAAAUGGGCAUGACAUCUUCGGUAUUCCUAUUGAAGUGAAAAGGGACCUUUUGUAUUGAAGUUUGAUCUUAAUGUUCAGAAAUGGAUGUAGGUUAAUAGAGGAAGUUAUGUGAAUAUGGUUAAGUUUAAACUGUGAAAUGGAUGUAGCUACUAAGAACGAAAAACUAGAAACUUAAAGAGUAAGUGCCCUUCAAAUUUUUGACAGAUUGAAAUAUUGAUAAACAUGGCCUAUAUAUUAAACUUAAAUCCACAUUCUAUGAUAAUGGCUGACUUUUUAUUCAUCUGUUGUUUGCUUAGGUCCAAUUCACUCCCUUUAGCAUCAUCCGUGGCCCACGGCCCCUAUAAUGCAAAACUAGGGAAAAAUUUAUAGAUAGUUAAGAUUAGUUCUUGUGAAAUGUCGAGAUUAACCGGAGUUUCAUCCAUGAUGAGACUGUAGACCUUCUCACAGAAAAAGAAAAUAGGAAUCAGUUUUAGCGAUGUAUUGGCUUCUUGUAGUUGGUCGACCUUAUUAUUAGCAGUAUUCUCAUCAAAAGAUAUGAUGUUGAAGCUCUAUUCAUAAUUAAUAAUUAAGCAAUAUAUGUAUUGAAGUUUUUACUAGAGAAAUUUGUUUAACAUAUUCUAGACACGAGCUGAGUGAUACUUUGCUAAAAGUAGUAGUGUAUUUGUUAUUGUCGGCAUAAAGUGUGUAUGGGAUAAACUUACGAAGACCAUAAAUGAGCAUUGCAAAGGAUUAAAGGCAAUAUUGCUUCGGACUUGGUGGAGUUAUCUUGGAAUUCUAUCUAGAUGCCACUUAAUAAGAUUUUUUGCUAAACUUGAAUUCUAAUGGUAAUGGUGAUGGGUGCAACUAAUGAUGAAGAUAGCUUUGCUUUGUCAUUUCAAAGCGAACUUGCCACAUAUAGUCUUUCUAAUCUUAAUACAUCGAAGCCAUAUAUUUCUAUGUAGAUCAAUCAUUUUUUUACCCCGUCGGAUGAUCUCCACGAAGAUUUUGUUGUGGGAGAGUGGCUUAUUGUUUAGAAAGGGAUAUUUUGCUCUCAAAAGUUGUUAUGCAUUCUGCCGUUUGCUGGGUUUUAGAGCUCCAGAUAUUCAUAUCCUUUCCCUUGCAUCCGGUAACAUUCCUCUCUAUCUAUUAUCUAUUGAUCAUCUAUAUGAAACAUGGUCCGAAGUGUUAAGAUUCCAAGCUCGCAUUUCUAUGGAGAAUGUGAACCUUUGUGUUUCAUUUCCUUCCCCUAUUUAGUGGUCCAAAACCAGGAAGCUUCACAUCAUUAUACUGUAGUUUCAAGAAGGGAGUCUUGUUUAUAAGCAUUGUAUACCUGGUUGAACCCACCCUUUUACAUUUGUUGUGGACAUUUUGUAGUAUAGCUAACUAAACUAGUCAUGCAGGGGACUCAAAAGUGAAGUCAGACUUGUUGCCAUAUGACAUAUGUCAUGUUGGUGGCAUCUGGAGUCUAUGGGUGCAAAUGUUGAUUUUUUAGCUGCUGCUACAUGAUAUUUAAGUUUCUUAAUAUUUAUUUUUUCUUGUAACAAACCAUGGUAUGCACUUCUCUUAAUGUUUUGGUAUCCCGAUAACAGCACUAACAGUGUUCCAUAUCUUUCAUACUUGGCAACAACACUGAAAUAUAGUAGUAGUUAGUUACCACUCUCUUUUUUCCCCUCUUUUUUACUUUUUCUCAUUUUUUGGUUCCCUAUCCAUCUAAACAUAUAGAAUAGAGAUUAUCUGCGCGACUGCUAGACAAGGAUAUAUAUAUAUUGUGGGCGAAGCUUGCGUGGAUUUUAAAGAAUUGCUCAGUUGGGGAGAUCUAAAGGAAUUGGCUUAUGCUAUUAUAGAUACUACUAUUGAGGACAGCUUCCCUCCUAUCCUGUACACUUGAUAUAUUCAUUUCUUCUCUAUAUACGUGAAUUUGCUGAACGGAUCAAUGAGUAUGUGACCUAAUCAUAGUAUAUUAAUAUUUACAGUUAUCCUAUUAUCAAUGUCUUCAUCUAAUUAAGUGAAAAUUUCUUAGAGGUAUUGUAAAAUUUAGCAUGGUUCAUCGAAGGAUACCAAGUAAUUGAAAAAAAGAAUCCUCUAAGGUGGAACAAAAUACAGGUCUGAGUAAUAAACUAAUAAUAUAUCUAAAAAUAUAUUAUAUGUAAUGACACAUUUGAAUUGAAAUAGUUAUGUCAGUUGUUGAUUUAUUCGAACUUUUUCAUGACAGUGUCCUCGUCAAGCUCUGGGCUCCAAGGAUUGUGGCUAUUAUGUUUGUCGUUACAUGAUUGAAACUAUAGCAAGUGGACGACAAUUAAUUCCUGAUAAGUACUUUCCAGGGAUUCCUAGCAUUUAUUCCCAAGAGAUUAUUGACGAUCUAAAAGAUACGUGGGUGAAUUAUUUAAACAAUCAAACACAAGAUGAUGGAGAUUGAAGACGAUGAUCAAGUUUAAAUUGUACAUAUUAUUUGAUUAUUUUAGAAUUUUAAAUUUAGUAGCUAGCAUUAGAUUAUAGAAACUUUAUAUUAAGACAUUAUGAGAAGAAAUUGAUGCUUUGAAUAAAAUUGGUUUUGUAUAUAAAUUAAAUAUAGAAAGUAUUGUUUUGACAUGAAUAAAGAAGGCAAGAAUUUAUAUUAAAUAA